UACUAGAGUAGCACUCGCAUAUCAAUAAGCGGAGGAAAAGAAACUAACAAGGAUUCCCCUAGUAACGGCGAGUGAAGCGGGAAGAGCUCAAAUUUGAAAUCUUAAAGGGUUUCCCUUUACGAAUUGUAGUUUAAAGAAGUGUUUUCUGUUGAGGUUUUGGUAAAAGUUCUUUGGAAUAGGACAUCAUAGAGGGUGAGAAUCCCGUAUUUGACCUUUACUUUCAACUUUGUGAUACACUUUCAAAGAGUCGGAUUGUUUGGGAAUGCAGUCCAAAAUGGGUGGUAAAUUUCAUCUAAAGCUAAAUAUUGGCGAGAGACCGAUAGCGAACAAGUACCGUGAGGGAAAGAUGAAAAGAACUUUGAAAAGAGAGUUAAACAGUACGUGAAAUUGUCAAAAGGGAAGCGUUUGACACCAGUGUUGUUUUUCUGAAAAUCAAUUAAAGAACUGUUUAUGCUAAGUUGUUUAGACUUUAUCAGCUAUCUGUUUAGUUUUGAGCUUUUCUUUAAUGCACUUUUCAGUUAACAAGUCAACAUCAAUUUCUUUUGCUGUAAAAAAGCUUGAGGAAGGUGGCUUGAGAUUCGUCUUAAGUGUUUAUAGCCUCUUGCCUAUGCAGUCGGAGAGAUUGAGGUCUGCAGCGUAGAUCCUUCGGGGCUAAAUGCAUUUGUGCUAAGUUAUAGCAUUUUAUAGACAACUUGUUGACUAUGAUUUGUCUUGUAGCUUACUCGCUUAUGUUAUUUUACCUACGCUUAGGAUGUUGAGUAGCGACAUACGCAC
rnacentral:rRNA from 1 species